rnacentral:rRNA from 1 species
UACAGAGGUCUCAAGCGUUGUUCGGAAUCACUGGGGCGUAAAGGGUGUGUAGGCGGUGUGUUAAGUCAGAUGUGAAAGCCCGGGGCUCAACCUCGGAACUGCAUCCGAUACUGGCAUGCUAGAGAAUUGGAGAGGAGUCUAGAAUUCACGGUGUAGCAGUGAAAUGCGUAGAUAUCGUGAGGAAUACCAAGUGCGAAGGCAGGACUCUGGACAUUUUCUGACGCUGAGACACGAAGGCCAGGGGAGCAAAACGGG